rnacentral:rRNA from 1 species
AUGAGAGAAGAAGAAGAAGCGGUGCCGCGAGGAGAGGCGGCGCCAACAAUUGGUAUCAUCGUCGAGCUGCGUCAUGAGCGAUGGAGAAAAGGUAUGCUGUCUGGUAAGUUGCGUCACCGGCGGCAAGGAGGUGAUGGCCAUGGAGCGGAGGCCAUUGCCAUGAGGAGUUCCAUGUCGGAGUCGUCGACAAGGUGCGUCGUCGUCGGCAACAUGGAGGUGAAAGGAGUUCCAUGUCCGAGUCGGCGACAAGGUGCGUCAUCGGUGACGAACAUGGAGGCGAGUCACCGGCGAGUUGUGGCACCGGUGGCAAUUAUGGAGGCGAGUCACCGACGAGUUGCGGCACCGGUGGCAAACAGGCGGCAGCGAGCAUGCCACGGCAGCGCGCUCAUGGUGAAGGCGCACGAGGUGCGGCUCUCGCUGAAGCUAGCGGCGACGGCGGCAAUCGGUGUGACAAGAUGGCAUUGGCGGCCAUCUCCGUGUUGCAUCGACGACAUCGACGACCAUGGGCUUCAAGAGAGAAAUAAGUUAACAAGAUUAGGGAGGUGA